CUACGGGGUGCACCAGUGGGGAAUUUUGCGCAAUGGGGGAAACCCUGACGCAGCAAUACCGCGUGAGUGAAGAAGGCCUUUGGGUCGUAAAGCUCUUUUCUUGGGGAAGAUAGUGACGGUACCCAAGGAAUAAGCACCGGCUAACUCCGUGCCAGCAGCCGCGGUAAUACGGAGGGUGCAAGCGUUGUUCGGAUUUACUGGGCGUAAAGGGCACGUAGGCGGCACAGCACGUUAAGGGUGAAAUCCCGGGGCUCAACUCCGGAACUGCUCUUAAAACUGCUGAGCUAGAGAUAGUCAGAGGCGGGUGGAAUUCCAGGUGUAGAGGUGAGAUUCGUAGAUAUCUGGAGGAACACCGGUGGCGAAGGCGGCCCGCUGGGGCUAUUCUGACGCUAAGGUGCGAAAGCGUGGGGAGCAAACGGGAUUAGAUACCCGGGUAGUC
rnacentral:rRNA from 1 species